AAUUGCAUUGCAGUAAGUGCGGACUCUUAAUAUGUGGUGCAUGGAUGAUUUAUGUGUCAAAUAUUCCCUCAGGGUUCGGCGCUUUGGUCAACUAGUUCACCUCCUCGUCUAACGUGAGCUGGAUGUUGCAGAUCUGUCUUUGAAGGAGGCCCCGGUGUCUCGCAGCUGAUUUCACAGAUUUAGUCAUAAUCUGGUAUUGUCUGCCUUAAAAUAACACGAGACUAUUUUAUCCGGGAAGAGGAUUUGGGGAACAUCCACUCGUCCGACGUGGUCGGGGAAUUAAAGUGGUGAAUAAUACAUGCCUGGAAGCAUCCGUGUCUCCGAGUUGCAGCUACUGGACAGAGAGGGAUCUGAAG
ensembl:lncRNA